AGAGGAGGGUGUGUAUAGUAGAAGUUGGCCCUCGGGCCCAAACGUGUGAAAUUUCAAAUGGUUGAGGAACGGGUCUAAGCCCCAACUUUCAGUUCAAAUUCUCAGCUAAAGCAGCACAAAGUCUCAUCGCGUUUUUUCAUUUCACGUUGUCUUCGUCUUCCUCGAGUUCUCUUCCAAAAUCGAUGAAGAAAAAUUGUUCCGAAAUCAUUUUCACCGCCAAAAUCAUAUCGACAUUCAGCUUUUGAUUUUAACUCAACCAGAGCGCGCAAAGUUAAAGAGAAACGAAACCGGAUUGAGGUGAGAAAACUAACCGAAUUGGAGUUGCGACGCAAACACGUAUUGAAUCUUCGGCUUUCACUGAAUUAGAAUUGGUAUAUUGGCGUAAUUUUGAUGAAACAAGUAUCUCUGAAUGAUGUCAGAAGGAAUGUCUUAGCUGCAAACUUAUCAGAAGUUGCCGGUAAGGUACUAUGAUCCUCCCAUUCUCCAGAUACUUUAGCUUCACAAAACCCAUAAACAUUCAACCUCUGUAGUAGACAUUGGUGAUCCAUAUUGGCAUCGGUUAUGGUGGGGAGUAAGGAAUUUAUGCAGGGCAUAUGAGGAACAGGUUCCAAGAUGGAAAGGCGUCGACCAAAUGCCCGUCUAAUUUGGCAUACUCUUCCGACAACAUAAGAGCAAUUAUCAUAUUAUCCUCAACAUCAUGUUGACUACUAAUCGAAGUCUAACUUGAACUUUCACCUUCACCCCAACUCUGAUUUAGUGAUCCAUUCUCAUAUCCGAAACCAAAUCACUUCUCGCCUCUUUAACCUAAACGAAAAAAUCACAGCCGCAAAACAUGCGAUUAUGUUUGGAUUGAGAUGAAUGAAUGUGAAUGCAUUGGUUUAAAAUGUAAAUGGAAUUUGGUUUGGAAUGAAUUUGGUUUGAUGAAAUUGUAAUGUGAUUAUGUAUGUGUCUUGGAAUGGUUUAGGUAAAUGUAUGAAUGCUAGGUCCACGUCUUGGUCAUUUGGUUUGAAAUUGGCAUGGCCUUUGGUUGAUUUAUGCUACUAUGGUACAUGACAGGGUCUAUUUCGUGA